UUCCCUGUGGCUCAGAGGGUAAAGCAUCUGCCUGCAAUGCGGGAGACCCGGGUUUGAUCCCUGGCUUGGGAA
rnacentral:tRNA from 1 species